GAUCCUGGCUCGGGAUGAACGCUAGCUACAGGCUUAACACAUGCAAGUCGAGGGGCAGCAUGACGAUAGCCUGCUAUUGUCGAUGGCGACCGGCGCACGGGUGAGUAACGCGUAUCCAACCUCCCCAUAGCUAGGGAAUAACCUUGCGAAAGUAAGACUAAUGCCCUAUAACAUUCUUUGCAGACAUCUAAAGAGAAUUAAAGAUUUAUCGGCUAUGGAUGGGGAUGCGU
rnacentral:rRNA from 1 species